rnacentral:misc_RNA from 1 species
GCGGUGGUUGAAUCCUAAAUCUGGCCAACAUCCAGGGCCUGAGGGCGCGGAAGCAGGGGAGCGCCGCGGAGGGCGAGGACGAAGAGGAGUGCAGGCCGUGGCGCCGGAGACUGUCGUCGUCAAUGGCGUUUUCCUGGUCCUCCCUCUUCAGGAUCUCCCUCCUCCUCCUCCUCGUCGCCGCCAUCGUCACCGCCUUCAUCACCCUCCCCAUGGAUAAGAUUUUGAAGGAUUUUUUGGUUUGGGUCAAGGAGAA